GACGAACGCUGGCGGCGUGCUUAACACAUGCAAGUCGAACGGAAAGGCCCUGCUUGCAGGGUACUCGAGUGGCGAACGGGUGAGUAACACGUGGGUGAUCUGUCCUGCACUUCGGGAUAAGCCUGGGAAACUGGGUCUAAUACCGGAUAGGAGCCAUUUUUAGUGUGAUGGUUGGAAAGUUUUUUCGGUGUAGGAUGAGCUCGCGGCCUAUCAGCUUGUUGGUGGGGUAAUGGCCUACCAAGGCGGCGACGGGUAGCCGGCCGGAGAGGGUGGACGGCCACAUUGGGACUGAGAUACGGCCCGGACUCCUACCGGAGGCAGCAGGGGGGAAUAUUUCCCAAUGGGCGCAAGCCUGAUGCAGCGACGCCGCGUGGGGGAUGACGGCCUUCGGGUUGUAAACUCCUUUCGCUAGGGACGAAGCUUUUUGUGACGGUACCUAGAUAAGAAGCACCGGCUAACUACGUG
rnacentral:rRNA from 1 species